AGUUUAGUUAGUGUUUUGUUUGUUGGAGGAGUUCAGAUGUCAUUCAUAAAAGAGCAAUUAGAGGAUUAGAGCAUGUGUUUAGUGUUUGUUAACCAAACUCUUUCGUAACUAUCUUCCUUUUUUGUUUACAGUUUUGUUUUAUAUCUUGGUGUUCAAUAACACACCGGUACCGGUAAAUUUAAUUUUAAAAUAUAAUUAAUAGUGAUUCUUUUCAACCUGCAUAGGGUUAGGCCUAACCAAAAUGUUUAACACUCUUAAAAAAAUUUGGCAAUUUUUAAACUAUUGGUAUUUUAGAUACUUGAUGGUUACAGAAUUGUAUAUGGUUGAACGGUGGGAAAGAGCUGUUGUUAAUACAACCAUUGUAAUACUGUGCCUUAUCCUCUCUUACAUUAACUAUGUGGUUUUGUCUUAUACUUCGUCACUUCAGUGGUUCCCUACCUUUUGGUCAUCAUCUACCAUUUCAUGAUCACAAGUAUCACUCCAGAAUUUCUGGGCCUUAAAGUGAGAAGCAUUUCUUCUGAGACAUUU